rnacentral:rRNA from 1 species
AGGGUUUGAUCCUGGCUCAGAGUGAACGCUGGCGGCGUGCUUAACACAUGCAAGUCGAACGAGCGACUCUUUUGCAGCAAUGCAAAAGGGAAGCGAGUGGCAGACGGGUGAGUAAUACAUGGGUAAUUUGCCUUUAGAAGGAAAAUAACUCCGAGAAAUCGGAGCUAAUAGUCCAUAAGACCACGAUUCUUCCUGCGAAGAAACGAGGUCAAAGCUCCGCAAGGGGCGUCUAGAGAUGAGCCUGUGGCCUAUCAGCUAGUUGGUGAGGUAAUGGCUCACCAAGGCAAAGACGGGUAUCCGGCCUGAAAGGGCGAUCGGACACACUGGAACUGAGACACGGUCCAGACUCCUACGGGAGGCAGCAGUGGGGAAUUUUGGACAAUGGGCGAAAGCCUGAUCCAGCAACGCCGCGUGAGGGAUGAAGGUCUUCGGAUUGUAAACCUCUUUUGUAGGGGACGAAUAAAUUGACGGUACCCUACGAAUAAGCCACGGCUAACUUCGUGCCAGCAGCCGCGGUAAUACAAAGGUGGCAAGCGUCGCUCGGAAUGACUAGGCGUAAAGCGCAGGUAGGUGGUUUGAUGUGUCUGUAAUGGAAUCUCCCGGCUUAACUGGGAGGGGUUUAUGGAAACUAUCGAGCUAGAGUGUGGGAGAGGAUGCUGGAAUUCCAGGUGUAGCGGUGAAAUGCGUAGAUAUCUGGAGGAACACCAAUGGCGAAAGCAGGCAUUUGGCCCAAUACUGACACUGAGCUGCGAAAGCUAGGGGAGCAAACAGGAUUAGAUACCCUGGUAGUCCUAGCCGUAAACGAUGUAGACUAGAUGUGGGGGGUAUCGACCCCCUCCGUGUCGACGCUAACGCAUUAAGUCUACCGCCUGGGGAGUACGGCCGCAAGGUUGAAACUCAAAGGAAUUGACGGGGACCCGCACAAGCGGUGGAGUAUGUGGUUUAAUUCGACUCAACGCGAAAAACCUUACCUGGGCUCGAACGACCGGUAGUAGUUCAGAUGAAAAUUUGAACCAACCGUAAAGUCGGAUGCCGGCCGAGGUGCUGCAUGGUUGUCGUCAGCUCGUGUCGUGAGAUGUUGGGUUAAGUCCCGCAACGAGCGCAACCCUCAUCCUAUGUUGCUAACCAGCAAUGGUGCACUCUUAGGAAACUGCCCACGAUGAGUGGGAGGAAGGUGAGGAUGACGUCAAAUCCCCAUGGCCCUUAUGUCCAGGGCUACACACGUACUACAAUGGUCAGUACAGAGGGCUGCAAUGCCGCAAGGUGGAGCCAAUCCCUAAAGCUGGCCUCAGUUCGGAUUGUGGGCUGAAAUUCGUCCGCAUGAAGGCGGAAUCGCUAGUAAUCGCGAAUCAGAAGGUCGCGGUGAAUACGUUCCCGGGUCUUGUACACACCGCCCGUCACACCACGAAAGUCCGUUGCAACAGAAGUACCC